rnacentral:rRNA from 1 species
AUUGAACGCUGGCGGCAGGCCUAACACAUGCAAGUCGAGCGGAUGAGUGGAGCUUGCUCCAUGAUUCAGCGGCGGACGGGUGAGUAAUGCCUAGGAAUCUGCCUGGUAGUGGGGGACAACGUUUCGAAAGGAACGCUAAUACCGCAUACGUCCUACGGGAGAAAGCAGGGGACCUUCGGGCCUUGCGCUAUCAGAUGAGCCUAGGUCGGAUUAGCUAGUAGGUGAGGUAAUGGCUCACCUAGGCGACGAUCCGUAACUGGUCUGAGAGGAUGAUCAGUCACACUGGAACUGAGACACGGUCCAGACUCCU